GAUCAUGGCUCAGAGUGAACGCUGGCGGCGUGCCUAAUACAUGCAAGUCGAACGAUGAAGCUUCUAGCUUGCUAGAAUGCUGAUUAGUGGCGCACGGGUGAGUAACGCAUAGGUCAUGUGCCUCUUAGUUUGGGAUAGCCAUUGGAAACGAUGAUUAAUACCAGAUACUCCCUACGGGGGAAAGAUUCAUCGCUAAGAGAUCAGCCUAUGUCCUAU
rnacentral:rRNA from 1 species